rnacentral:tRNA from 1 species
AAGGAGUUAGUUAAAUAUAUAAUAUUAGAUUGUCAAACUAAAGUAACUAAAAUAUUAGUACCCCUUG